GAUGAACGCUAGCUACAGGCUUAACACAUGCAAGUCGAGGGACCGGCGCACGGGUGAGUAACACGUAUCCAACCUGCCCUUUACUCGGUGAUAGCCUUUCGAAAGAAAGAUUAAUACCCGAUGUAAAGGAUGGGGAUGCGUUGCAUUAGGUUGUUGGUGAGGUAACGGCUCACCAAGCCUUCGAUGGAUAGGGGUUCUGAGAGGAAGGUCCCCCACAUUGGAACUGCGACCCGGUCUAAACUCCUACGGUAGGCAGCAGUGAGGAGUAUUGGUCGAUGGGCGUUAGCCUGACCCAGCCAAGUAGCGUGAAGGAUGAAGGCUUAUGGGUCGUAAACUUCUUUUAUAUAAGAAUCUGUAUUAUAUGAAUAAGGAUCGGCUAACUCCGUGCCAGCAGCCGCGGUAAUAC
rnacentral:rRNA from 1 species